GAGGGUAUAGCUCAGUGGUAGAGUGCCUGCUUAGCAUGCACAAAGUCCUGGGUUCAAUCCCCAGUACCUCCA
rnacentral:tRNA from 1 species